rnacentral:rRNA from 1 species
GGAGUUUGGGCCGUGUCUCAGUCCCAAUGUGGCCGUUCACCCUCUCAGGCCGGCUACUGAUCGUCGCCUUGGUGAGCCGUUACCUCACCAACUAGCUAAUCAGACGCGGGUCCAUCUUUCACCACCGGAGUUUUUCACACUAGACGAUGCCGUCCUGUGCGCUUAUGCGGUAUUAGCAGUCAUUUCUAACUGUUAUCCCCCUGUGAAAGGCAGGUUACCCACGCGUUACUCACCCGUCCGCCACUAAGUUUAAAAAGCAAGCUCUCUAAACUUCGUUCGACUUGCAUGUGUUAAGCACGCCGCCAGCGUUCAUC